UGGAUGAGCCCGCGGCCUAUCAGCUUGUUGGUGGGGUAAUGGCCUACCAAGGCGACGACGGGUAGCCGGCCUGAGAGGGUGACCGGCCACACUGGGACUGAGACACGGCCCAGACUCCUACGGGAGGCAGCAGUGGGGAAUAUUGCACAAUGGGCGCAAGCCUGAUGCAGCGACGCCGCGUGAGGGAUGACGGCCUUCGGGUUGUAAACCUCUUUCUGCUCACACGAAGCGCAAGUGACGAAACCUCAGUAUAGUACCCCGGCCUAACCCAAGAUA
rnacentral:rRNA from 1 species